AAGGGAUUGACGAAGGGAUUGCUUUUGAAUUGACCCCUGGUACUGAACUUGCAACUUUGUUAUGCAAAAAAUAUGUAAAACCGACACUUGAAUUUGGAAGAUGUUCUCCGCAUUAUCAACGACCGGGAAGUCACCAUUAAAGAUCUUGCAUGAAGGCUGUUCCGGUGCACGUAUUAUAUCCGAAACGAGAACCCCUCUCAUAGGAAGACGCUUCUGAUGAUUGCGACAAUUUUCGUAAUCCUAAAUUCGCAUAGUAACGUUUAAAAAUAUUGAGGGAUUAUUAGGUGAAUUUUAAAAUUGCUCUUUGUUUUUAAUUUCGCUUCAUUUGAACGAAAGAAUAACGUUAUUUAUGAUAUAACGUACGUCCGAAGAGUAUUGCUGUUCAGGCCUUUCUAUUUUAUCGACAUGCGCUAUUCAAAAAAGUUAUUCAGAGUUGAAAUUAUAUCGCAAAAAUCUAUGAAUUACAUAUUGCGCUAAAUAUGUAGUCAUAGCAAAAUUUUAAAGGUGAAAAGCUCGAACGACGCAUCCGCACGAUUCUGGCAACUUGAAUUUCAGAACUUGAAUUCAAUCAGCCUAUUCUUGCCACAUUCCCAGUCCGCUGCAUUCAAUUAUUAAUCUUUUCCGACUAAGAAUUUGCUGUCCUGCUAUCGAAAUUUAAUAUGCAUCGCAUAUUAUUUAAAUUUUACUGAAGAUUGACUACUUACUUUCUUCUUUUGGUCUAAAUUAAGUAGAAAUGAAGAAAAAUUGGUUUGAUAUUUGAAUUACGAAUUUGUAUUCAUCAGACUUGACACUGUUUUAAUUCAUCACUUGCGAACACUUUGCUGAACAGUUGCUGGACUUGUUGGUUUUCGAUCCAAAAAUGUGAAUGUUCGCAGACAACCGUCUUCUCUCGUAGUUACUGAUCGUGGCGAUGGACACGGAGGGGCAAAAUUUUCAUUACCAUGGCAUCAUGUAUGCAAUCGGCAUUGACUUUAAUUCCUUCUGGUCCAUUUCAAAUUUCUUUGGGUUUCCUGAUUCAGUCGGAAUUUGAUAAAAAUCAUUUAUUUCAACCUGAAUAUCACUUAGUUGUGUUUGAAAUUCAAGAGUUGCCAUCUCGCACGCCUCGAUUCGCUUUUCCAGUUGCUCAAGACGAUCCAUCAUAUUCGGAAACAAGUCAGGGAUUGAUGGUAUAACACUGGGCGGAGAUGGAUAGUAAAAAGCUUGAUGACUUGGAGAAGGAGAAGGGGAUUGUAGACGUGGAUGGUAAUAAGUUGGGUGCGGAAAUGGAUUUGAUAUUUCCUGUCGAUCUCCAAAAUCCAUUAGGUUCUUUUCUUUAUCGGGACUUUCCACUUCAUUUUUAUCCCAAAGAAAAGGCAACAAAGAAAAAACGCUCUUGAUGACUUGUUCGGUCAUUUUGGCGUAUGGGUAGACAACCUGAAGUGUCAAUCUAGUGAUUAGUACUGCCAUUUAUAUAGACUUGUAUACCUCUGUAAACUAUUGGCGUUCAUUUUUCAGCACAUUGUCUUUAACAUUAUUAAUUCAAUUUUAAUGUAGCAACAUUUAUUUUGAUUUGACUGUAAACUAGAAAAUAUUUCGCAUUAUAUUCAAACUGUUAAUCGAUAAUACUUUGAAAAUAUUGUCGAUUUUGGCUAAUCUAAUGAUCUGAUAAACAGUUCCUCUGGCGUAAGUAAAGAGAACUCUGUAAACCCUAAACUUCUGAAACAUUAUAAAAACA